rnacentral:rRNA from 1 species
AGAACCUGAAACCGUAUACGUACAAGCAGUGGGAGCCACUUCGUGUGGUGACUGCGUACCUUUUGUAUAAUGGGUCAGCGAGUUACGUUUCUGUUGCGAGCUUAACCGAGUAGGGAAGGCGUAGAGAAAUCGAGUCUGAAUAGGGCGUCUAGUAGCAGGAAGUAGACCCGAAACCCGGCGAUCUAUCCAUGGGCAGGUUGAAGGUGAGGUAAUACUUACUGGAGGACCGAACCCACUGAUGUUGAAAAAUCAGGGGAUGACCUGUGGAUCGGAGUGAAAGGCUAAUCAAGCCGGGAGAUAGCUGGUUCUCCUCGAAAGCUAUUGAGGUAGCGCCUCGUGUCUCACUCCAGGGGGUAGAGCACUGUUUCGGCUAGGGGGCACACAAGUGUUUACCAAACCGAUGCAAACUCCGAAUACCUGGAAGUGCAAUCACGGGAGACACACGAUGAGGACUAAACUCCAUCGUGGAAAGGGAAUCAACCCAGACCGCCAGCUAAGGUCCCUAAAUUAUCGCUAAGUGGGAAACGAUGUGGGAAGGCCCAGACAGCCAG